rnacentral:rRNA from 1 species
UACGUAGGGUGCAAGCGUUGUCCGGAAUUAUUGGGCGUAAAGAGCUCGUAGGCGGUCUGUCGCGUCUGCUGUGAAAACUCGGGGCUUAACCCCGGGCCUGCAGUGGGUACGGGCAGACUAGAGUGCGGUAGGGGAGACUGGAAUUCCUGGUGUAGCGGUGAAAUGCGCAGAUAUCAGGAGGAACACCGGUGGCGAAGGCGGGUCUCUGGGCCGUAACUGACGCUGAGGAGCGAAAGCGUGAGGAGCGAACAGG